AACGUGAAAAAUCAGCUUCAGUUUCCCUUUGUUUCCUUUAUUUUAAUUUAUCGAUUGGGAUCGUGAAAAUGGAAGAAGAGGAACGUAUUUUUAGAAAUUAUAUUUUCGUUGACACGAAUCGUGUCGAGCGUUUUUUCACUCUUGCGGAUAAUCAAUCCAUCAACUUACGCAAUCUUCAAACUUAGCGGAAAUAUGAUCGACGACUCUUCGCUAACUUUCUAAAAGCUUUCACUUCAAGAGGAAAACGGUCAUAUUAUCAGAAAUAAACGAGGCUCGCGUAAAAGUAAUAGUCAAUUAUCGUUAAUUACUGACCGUCCUGAAUCUGCAAACCAAGACUCUGCGGAGACCCGUCGCCGUCCAUGACGGAAACCAAAGACGCGCCGCAGCAUCGUGGCAUUUUCUCAUCGAAACGUCACAGUCCGCAAAUCUUUAACCAUCCUCCUGUAUAGAAAUUGCAUUGAGUUGAGAAACCAACCAACCAACCAACCCUGAGCAAACAAAGAUCUUUCGUGCGAAAUGGGAAAGAAAAGAGAUUGUCGUCGUGAUUUCAUUCGCUCGUUUCAAUCGUGGAUUUGUAUUUCGUCAAUUCUACGUAUACAAAAGAAAUCAUAAAGAUUUAGCCAUCCAUUGGUUAAAAAAAUAAAGAAGAAAAUAGUAAAAAUGGGAAACGUGAUCGCGAUAGAUGAGAAGCAGGGUGAAACGUUGAUCCCACGCUGGACUAGAAGGUACUGCACCAAACACGCGGACCGAUAUAGCCCUCGGACAGGUAGAUCAAUAUAGUAGCUACGGCAUGCCUAACACGCAGGAUCUCUUGCCAGUGAACGCGUGAUUCUCAGCCCGCGGUGAUUGAGGGUGAAGCUGGCCGAAUUUCAUCUUAAAUUGAAGAUAACAAGAGCUAACUUGAUUUGAAACAAGGAAUACUUUCGAAUAAUUUCAAGAAGAGCUUAGAAGCAACAUUUCUUAUGGAAAUAAUAGUAUAUUCAAUAUUAUAUAUACAAUAUUUUCACAUACCUAAUCCUAAAUUCUCGAGUAAUUCGGUAUCUUUCUCUCUCAAUUUUACAUAAUUCGAUCGAAUGCUGAUUAUUCAUUCACUUCUGAAUUGUUAAACUGUCCCUGAAUAUCUGACCGUGUGAUAUAGUUUUCCUUAUAAUUUCCUUUCAGUAAGAAACUAUGAAGUUGUUUAGUAUAUAUUAUGAGAUGAAACGUCGAUUUCAAAUCCCACGAUGCUUUCUUCUUCCAAAUUCCAAUCACAAGUAAGACCAAUUCUCACUAUCGGGACAGGACAGGGGACAAAAUGUACCUGCCAAACGGCCCUGCCCUGCCCUAUCCUGACCCAAUAAUGCGAACCGGGCAUGAUCCAGCUAUCAGAUUGUAAUCGAUUGGUUGGGAUGAAUGGAUGAUUUGUUGAUCUCCGAUCGAUGAUAUUCGAUUAACGAAGUUGAAAUAGUUGUGAAAGCGAGUUUGAAGAUAAAAGGUAAAUUGAAAUGAUAUGAGAAAGAAUACUGUAGAAUAAUUUUUUAUAUCUUAUAUUUCUAAAAUGUUUCUAAUCUUCUUGCCACUUUUUUAGGAUUGAUAAAAUUUCUAUUUCUCAAAAUUAUUUUUUUUAUAUCCAGAUUUAAAUAUAUUUUUAACUUUCAUUUCCUGAUUUAAAAGAU